UACGUAGGUGGCGAGCGUUGUCCGGAUUUACUGGGCGUAAAGAGCGCGCAGGCGGUCUUGCAAGUCGCGUGUGAAAGCCCCCGGCUCAACUGGGGAGGGUCACGCGAUACUGCUCGACUUGAAGGCAGGAGAGGGAAGUGGAAUUCCCGGUGUAGUGGUGAAAUGCGUAGAUAUCGGGAGGAACACCAGUGGCGAAGGCGACUUCCUGGCCUGUUCUUGACGCUGAGGCGCGAAAGCUAGGGUAGCAAACGGG
rnacentral:rRNA from 1 species